AUGGAGAAGAUAAUUGAUCUAUCUGAUGGUGAGUAUGCUCGGGUUUAUGAUUAUCAGCUUGAGUUGCUUAGAAGCAACCCUGGUAGCACUAUCGCAGUGACAUUAAAUCCAGAAAUUCUUAAUAGUAAUGUGUUUGAAAGAAUGUAUAUGUGUUUAGAUGGUUGCAAGAAAGGAUUUCUUGCAGGAUGUAGAAGAGUGGUGGGGCUAGAUGGAUGUUUUUUGAAGGGCGCAUUCAAGGGGCAGUUGCUUUGCGCAAUUGGCAGAGAUGCAAAUAACCAGAUGUAUCCAAUAGCUUGGGCAAUAGUAGAGGUUGAGAGCUAUGAGUCCUGGUACUGGUUCAUUGGGUUUCUUCAAAAAGAUCUCCAGAUAAACAACAAUGGUGAAGGAUGGGUUCUCAUCUCUGAUCAACAGAAAGGUCUCAUCAGGGCAGUCAAUGAGCUUGUGCUCAAGCAGAGCAUAGGAUGUGUGCAAGACACAUUUAUGCUAACUGGAGAAAAGAACACAGGGACAAGGUCUUUCAGAAAAUGUUCUGGGCAUGGCGAAGUCAUCAGAUAG
rnacentral:rRNA from 1 species